CAUUACAUUAAUUCAUUCAUAUAAGAGGAGGAGUUUGUCUUAUAGAUGAUUGUUUUUAAAUGACUGGAAUUCUGCUGAAAAUCCCAUCUAAGCAUAAUCAGGAUAGGUCCAGUUUAUUUUCAUUAAAAUUAACAUUAGCGUUCUUGUGUCAGGCCAUGCAGGUGGUGAGCGGCAUCCUGAGCGUUGCGUUGGGAAUUCUUUUUUCUGUCACCCAGGACAUGAACGAGUCCUUAUUCACUCUCUUCAGGGUUUCCCAGUUGACUGGAUUUCUUGUAAGUUUCUGCUCAAACAACAGCUAAAAAAAACAUCAUGCAGUAUUAUUAUUAUGAGCACAUAAAACUCCAGCUGCUUUCUCCUCACCUACAGUUCAUAAUUGCAGGAGUUGCUUCCAGCCUGUUGUUCAAAUAUCCCGCUUUAUUAACUGUGAGUAAAAACCAGGCAGAUCUUACAGAUGUUAGGUGUGGAUAUUAUUUAAAAGUUGAAUUUCUGUUGCAGGUUUCCUUCGCUGUUAACAGUGGCUGCAUUGCUGUAGCUGUGGUUGCAGCUUGUCUGAUAAGCUUUGACCUGGCUCAGUGGGAUGACAACGAUCACUUGAAGCUGGAGGCGCUGGAGCUGUGCGUGUUGGGGUUCGAGGCUGUGCUCUCUGCAAUCCUUUGCUUCUGGUUCACUAAAGAGAGACAUGCGAAAACACCAUGAUCAAACUGAUGUGAGAGGAACCUUUGUUUGAGAAGACCUGAGAACUGUAUAGCAGUCUUUGAAAUAAGUUGAGCAACCCAAAUGUUUUAUGCUUUUUUUUUUUUUUAAGUCAAGUGUGGCUUUCUGUUCUGUCUUUCUGUGUAUCAGACUCACACUCACAGCUCUGACUGUGGUCUGGUGUUUGACUUGGACUGACAACACAAGGCUUGUGGUGAGCAAAUGUCAGCUUCUCUCAUGUGAAGAUGAAACCACUCUUCAUGCCCCUCAAUGCUAGUGGAUCUAAGUGCAGGGUUUUCUGUUCAUUUGCAGGGGUCUGUGUGUCUGUGUGGUUUUACACUUGUAGCUUGUUAUCAGUGGAAAUAUCUGCUGGUUCCACAGACAGAAAGCUUUGCAGAUAAACAGGCCUGCUUCAUUAGUGUGUGUAAUACUGUAUUUCACAUUAAGCUUAACUGUCAAAUAAAUACAGACAAAUGCAUUUUCA
rnacentral:lncRNA from 1 species